UUUAUGUUUGCUUGUUGCAGAAUUGAUGGUCUAGAAGCGGUCUAGAAGAUGGUCUACAUCUGGAGGCAUAAUGGCAAAUUGGAAAAUCUUGUUGAAUAGCGUAAAAUGUACUCAAUGCUUCCAUGGACUAAUGCUCCGAAGGAUCGAAGGUUCCCAUGGUGAAAUGCUCUCAAGGGUCGAAUGAGCCCAUAGACGCAAAAUUUAACCAGAUAGCUGUUCCAAUCUCCUUGAAAAGAAAAACUCUGUGUCGUUCGUAUUGCUGGAACGGAAGCAGCCUUCAAGUUAGGUGGACAAACUGCAGGAAAUUGUAUUUAGAGGGUGACUCGAUUUAAUUUCGAGACCAUUUGGACACUGAGCAUGAAUAUUUUUUCAUGACAAUGUAGUUUAAUUAAUUAGGCAAUUAUUACUAUCAAUUAUUGUUAUUGAUGUUAUUAUUAUUAGACAAUUAUUACUACUAGACAGUUAUUAUUAUUAAUAUCUAGACAAUUUAAUUUCGUGGUGUCCUAUUUGACAAUCGGACGACGGGCAUAAAUAUUGUUUUAUGA